rnacentral:rRNA from 1 species
AGCAGUCGCCGCGGUAAUACGGAGGAUCCAAGCGUUAUCCGGAAUCAUUGUGUUUAAAGGGUCCGUAGGCGGUCUUGUAAGUCAGUGGUGAAAGCCCAUCGCUCAACGGUGGAACGGCCAUUGAUACUGCAGGACUUGAAUUAUUGGGAAGUAACUAGAAUAUGUAGUGUAGCGGUGAAAUGCUUAGAGAUUACAUGGAAUACCAAUUGCGAAGGCAGGUUACUACCAAUUGAUUGACGCUGAUGGACGAAAGCGUGGGUAGCGAACAGGAUUAGAUACCCGGGUAGUCCCUGUCUCUUAUAC